AUUCUCUUAGUUCAAAGGUAGAACAGCAUUCUUCUAAAGUGUAAAUUUUGGUUCGAUCCCAAAAGAGAAUU
rnacentral:tRNA from 1 species